UUAUAUUAUAGUUAGAGAUAAAAUGAAUUAAAUAAAAAUUCACAGUAGAUAUUCUCAGAUUGGUAAAAAUUUGGAUAAGUAUAAAUUUUUUUCUGUUGUAGAAAUAAAGAGGAAAUAAAAGUUUUUUAAUUCUAUUAUUUAUUUUACGUAAGGAAAGGAAAGAGGAAUUAAUUUUUUUUCUCCCAAAAAAUGGGUCUGUCGACAGACCGAAAUUUGAAAUACGUGCUUUUAUAUAUAGUAUAGAUAUAUAUAUAAUUAAAAAUUAUUUUAUUUAGUUUUAUAAAUAAUACAAUCUUUUAUGCAUACUAAAAAAUUGAUUA
rnacentral:lncRNA from 1 species